AUAAGAUUUUACCAACCCAUUUAAGAGGUAAGAACUGCAAUCUCUCACACACUUACCUGGGAAUCAUCCCAGGGGCUAACUUCAGAGUAAACCUAGAGAGAAUUGGAUAGCAAAUAGCCUGAAGUGGAUUGGGCAGGGCCCAAGGCACAUUAGGUUUAUUUUGUAGGAACAGCAAGCCUCCCAGUUUAUCAGCAGUGCCCAUUACUAUUGCAGAAAUGUGCAGAAUGUGCUUGCAGCAGCUGAAUAAUGAGAUCUCUCUCUAUAUAUAUUUGUUUUUUCAGUACCAACCUCAUGUCGGUUUCAAAAUAAAUACUACCAGGUGAGCUGAAUUUUCUCUCUCACAGCGAGAGUUCUGAAUAAAAGCUUUCAUUCCUGACCCUGUCGCUUGGACGCACAGCAAGCACUUCAUACAAGGCAAUGUUCUUUUUUGUUAGCAUUCAGUGUUGAAGGCCAUUUUCUAGAAUCAUGUGGCAAACAAAUUGCCGGUAGCUGGGGAUGGGAGAUAAUUUUGAUCACCAUUAAAAGCUGCUCCUGCGGUAUAAGCAUAAUGAAGCUGUGAUCCGAAUUGUGAUUCGAAACUGCAGUUGUAAGAAUCACAAUUUUGAGAGAACAGGAUCAGCUGAAUUAAAUCGUGCUGAAUCGGGCUUUGGGGCCCACAGUUUUGCUCGGAGGCAACGCCAACAUUGCUACCUUUCGUUAUUUGGGUUUUCCAGACUGGGGAAACAUUUACUUCCCCCUUUUCUUCUUCUUAAAACCUAGCCUAUCCAAGAAAUACAAAGAAACUGCUGUCCCUUGAGGCUCAUAGUCCUUUAUUUCUUGUGCAAGUUUAAAAUUCUCUUUGGGCAUUUUCUAGAAGUAGUAGAGAAAACCCUUUUGUGAUAAAUCAGAUAAAAUCACAGUACAAGAGCAACAGUUAUUUUAUUUUAGUGUUUUGUUGGAAGCUGCCCAGAAUGGCUGGGGAAACCCAGCCAGAUGUGCGGGGUAUAAAUAUUAAAUUAUUAUUAUUAUUAUAGUUCAAAAACUUAGCUCUUUACUGAAGCUCUUUCACGUCGUCCGAUGCUUCAGCUGUGUUUACUAUCCUUACUAGGUGUAAAUGAAUGUAAGCUGGUUCCGGUGAAGGGAACAGUUAAUGCAGACAGCUACAAAGGCCAAAUCCUGAUGGCAUAGUGUGUUGGGGAAUGCCAAAA